CAUUGAACCUAGGGAAGGAUCAUUACCGAGAUAGGGUGCCUUUMCGCGGACUCGACCCUCCCACCCUUUGUGUAUAUACCUCUGUUGCUUUGGCGGAUGCCGCGGUGUACGGUAGUGCGAGACACACCGCGCCCGGCCCCCGCCAGAAGCCCAUUAAAUUCUGACUUAAAUAUCAGUGACGUCUGAGCACACUUUGCGAAAUAAUAAAACUUUCAACAACGGAUCUCUUGGUUCUGGCAUCGAUGAAGAACGCAGCGAAAUGCGAUAAGUAAUGUGAAUUGCAGAAUUCAGUGAAUCAUCGAAUCUUUGAACGCACAUUGCGCCCUCUGGUAUUCCGGGGGGCAUGCCUGUUCGAGCGUCAUUACAUCUCUCAAGCUCUGCUUGGUAUUGGGCUUUCGUCCCCCGUGGAUGGGUCUGAAAAUCAGUGGCAGUCCAGCCGGUGCUCAAGCGUAGUAGUAUUAUAUCCCGCUUUGGAGUCACCGGGUGGACCCGCCAGACAAUCCUAUUAUAUUUUCAAUGGUUGACCUCGGAUCAGGUAGGGAUACCCGUAANUUUA
rnacentral:rRNA from 1 species